rnacentral:rRNA from 1 species
CCGACGGUGAGGGGUGAAAGCUGGGGGAGCAAACCGGAUUAGAUACCCGGGUAGUCCCAGCCGUAAACGAUGUGCGUUAGGUGUAUCGGUGACCACGAGUCACCGAGGUGCCGAAGAGAAAUCGUGAAACGUACCGCCUGGGAAGUACGGUCGCAAGGCUGAAACUUAAAGGAAUUGGCGGGGGAGCACCACAACAGGUGGAGCCUGCGGUUUAAUCGGACUCAACGCCGGAAAUCUCACCGGAUAA